rnacentral:rRNA from 1 species
CCUACGGGAGGCAGCAGUUGGGAAUCUUGGGCAAUGGGCGCAAGCCUGACCCAGCGACGCCGCGUGUGGGAUGAAGGCCUUCGGGUCGUAAACCGCUGUCGGGGGGGACGAAGCCGCAAGGUGACGGUACCCUCAGAGGAAGCGCCGGCUAACUACGUGCCAGCAGCCGCGGUAAGACGUAGGGCGCAAGCGUUGUCCGGAUUUACUGGGCGUAAAGCGCGUGUAGGCGGCCUGCUAAGUGGCGUGUGAAAGCCUCCGGCUCAACCGGAGGAGGCCGCGCCAAACUGGCGGGCUUGAGGGCGGCAGAGGGUGAUGGAAUUCCCGGUGUAGCGGUGAAAUGCGUAGAUAUCGGGAGGAACGCCAGUGGCGAAGGCGGUCACCUGGGCCGUCCCUGACGCUGAGACGCGAAAGCUGGGGGAGCGAACGGGAUUAGAUACCCUUGUAGU